rnacentral:misc_RNA from 1 species
CAGAUACAUAGAUAAUUUAAAUUAAGAUAGCAGUAGAUUGUUUACUUAUUUAGGUAGCAAACCUUUGUACUACAUAUAGCCAAAGUAACUACCACAAACACACAUAAUAUUACUUUCACCACACAUAUAUUAUAUAUAUGUGUGUGUAAAAUUUAGUCAUCCAAAUUCUUGAGAGCCCAGUUGACCUUCUGGCUCUGACUGUAGCUAUUUUGGUGGCUUCCACCAAAACCUAGUCCAUGUCCAUGACCAUGACCAUGACUUCCAUGAUGUCCCAUGGCCAUGGACGACAUAUGGGCGUGGGAUGAUUGGUUCAUUCCACUACCAUAACCACCAUCACUAUGGACCAUGCUUGUGCUACUUGAGAAGUUGGUUGAUUCAUGUGGCAUAUGGCCAUGACUUCCAUAGUUGCUAUGGCCAUGGCCAUGGCUUCCAUAAUAUCCGCCACUGUGUUGGCUGACCAUCAUGUGAUUAUUGUGAGAAGACUGAGAAAAUGGCAUGGCGAAAGGCCUCAUCAUUUGUCCAUGGUUGCUCUCCGCGGAAUAGUGGUUGUGUUCAUGAGAGAAUGAUUGAUGAUGACCAAGUUGAUUUUGGAGAACCAUUAUUGAAUAUUGAUGAUGUUUGUAGUAGCUACACAACAAUUAACUAAAG